rnacentral:rRNA from 1 species
AGAGUUUGAUCAUGGCUCAGAUUGAACGCUGGCGGCAGGCUUAACACAUGCAAGUCGAGCGGUAACAUUUCUAGCUUGCUAGAAGAUGACGAGCGGCGGACGGGUGAGUAAUACUUAGGAAUCUACCUAGUAGUGGGGGAUAGCACGGGGAAACUCGUAUUAAUACCGCAUACGACCUACGGGAGAAAGGGGGCAGUUUACUGCUCUCGCUAUUAGAUGAGCCUAAGUCGGAUUAGCUAGAUGGUGGGGUAAAGGCCUACCAUGGCGACGAUCUGUAGCUGGUCUGAGAGGAUGAUCAGCCACACCGGGACUGAGACACGGCCCGGACUCCUACGGGAGGCAGCAGUGGGGAAUAUUGGACAAUGGGGGAAACCCUGAUCCAGCCAUGCCGCGUGUGUGAAGAAGGCCUUUUGGUUGUAAAGCACUUUAAGCAGUGAAGAAGACUCUGUGGUUAAUACCCACAGACGAUGACAUUAGCUGCAGAAUAAGCACCGGCUAACUCUGUGCCAGCAGCCGCGGUAAUACAGAGGGUGCAAGCGUUAAUCGGAAUUACUGGGCGUAAAGGGAGCGUAGGUGGCUCGAUAAGUCAGAUGUGAAAUCCCCGGGCUCAACCUGGGAACUGCAUCUGAUACUGUUGAGCUAGAGUAUGUGAGAGGAAGGUAGAAUUCCAGGUGUAGCGGUGAAAUGCGUAGAGAUCUGGAGGAAUACCGAUGGCGAAGGCAGCCUUCUGGCAUAAUACUGACACUGAGGCUCGAAAGCGUGGGUAGCAAACAGGAUUAGAUACCCUGGUAGUCCACCGCCGUAAANCGAUGUCUACUAGUCGUUGGGUCCCUUGAGGACCUUAGUGACGCAGCUAACCGCAAUAAGNAGCCCGCCUGGA